GAAAAGAACCAUUAUGGGGAAUUGCUCAGUUUACGUUUACAGCCAUGAAUAAGAUUUUCAGUGGCAUCAGUGCGCUUGAUGCGUUAGUUUCUGCAGGCAAGGUGGGUAACUGUUGACUCUUAUCAACAGCAUGCAGUCAUCACAGGACUUGCUAGCAUGAUCAAGAAGGAAGUGGGUUAGUCUUGAGUCAUUAUCAUCCACAACAUCAAAGAAUAUUAAUAAUAAAAGCAGUUGCUCUAAAGUAGAUGCGGGUCAAUCGAGCUUAAAUACCCAAAGCUAAUCGGGCUGACUAUGCCGUUCUACCAUUGACAACCUCUAAAGUCCAUCAACCUCUCUCUUGAGGAAAAACUUCAAUUAACUGAUUAACAGAAUCAUUAUUUACAAGGCAUCUAUGUUCUUUCAAAACUAUCCUUAAUUCAAUCUCUUUCCGCCAAAUCGCUUCUUCUUUAUGAAUAUUUUUUAAAAAAAAAAAGAAAUAAUACUUCAUUUUAAUGAAUAGGGGACGGCAAAAAAAAGUGAAAUAUCUUUUCAUCAAAAUAAAUUGAGAUUUGACAUACCAGAAAUUGUUUAAAGGAAGGAUGAAGAUGAGAGAAGUGUCGGUGUUGAGUGGCGAGCUAUAGACAUGCGAACGCGGUAGCCGUACGUGUCACAAAUACCUGCUUCAUUGGAGCUGGCGGCGCAAAACGCUGAGACUCUAUUUUUGUUAUACAAGUCGCCUUGGAUCUUCAUCUUCUUAAUUAUUACUAUUAUUAUUAUUAUUAUUAUUAUUACUAUUAUUGUCAAGUUCUUUAAUUAAUCUCGUCAAUUGUUGAUUCUUCAAUGAUUCAAUUUAAUUUGGGAUAAAAAUAAAGAAAGAAAACAGAUUAUAAUGGGAGAGAGAGAGAAGGAGAGAGUCAAUAUUGAAUUGUACAAAAAGCGAGUUAGGG
rnacentral:lncRNA from 1 species